rnacentral:rRNA from 1 species
GACGAACGCUGGCGGCGUGCCUAAUACAUGCAAGUUGAGCGAUGAAGCUUGGUGCUUGCACCAAUUUGAAGAGCAGCGAACGGGUGAGUAACGCGUGGGGAAUCUGCCUUUGAGCGGGGGACAACAUUUGGAAACGAAUGCUAAUACCGCAUAAUAACUUUAAACAUAAGUUUUAAGUUUGAAAGAUGCAAUUGCAUCACUCAAAGAUGAUCCCGCGUUGUAUUAGCUAGUUGGUGAGGUAAAGGCUCACCAAGGCGAUGAUACAUAGCCGACCUGAGAGGGUGGUCGGCCACAUUGGGACCGAGACACGGCCCAAACUCCUACGGGAGGCAGCAGUAGGGAAUUUUCGGCAAUGGACGAAAGUCUGACCGAGCAACGCCGCGGGAGUGAAGAAGGUUUUCGGAUCGUAAAACUCUGUUUGUAGGGAAGAACGGUGGUGAGAGUGGAAAGCUCAUCAAGUGACGGUAACUUCCCAGAAAGAGACGGCUAACUACGUG